AUAACAAAAGAUUUUAGCCACUUAUAUUCGUGUAAAAAGCGUGUGAAAUGUUGGGUUUCUCACACAGACAUCUGUCUGAAUAGGUCGAUACUUCGAAGUUCUAACACUCCUCCGAGCUGCACUGCCAAAUUUUCAUACCUCCAUCUUCAUCAAUUCAAACUCAACCCAGAUAACCAAUAAGAGAUGAUAUCAUCAAUUUCCUGGGUGCCCAAAGGUCGAUCCCCAGAUCUGCACUUCAUGUCUCGUGAGAUCUACUUUUAAGUCCCAAUUUUCACCCAGAUAUACUACUUGUCUGUCCUCAUCCUUCACUACCUUUUCUUCUUUAAUUGCUCAUCCAGAUCUGGAUUGGCAUGACAUGAUUUGGCAUAAGUCUCUUUCUUUUUUCCCAGACUGGUUUUUGAGUAACUUUGAGGACCAAGAUCCAGAAGCUUGUGUUUGAGCUCUACCUCAUGAGUCAUUUUCAGAGGAAGGUUUUGGUUGCAAAUCGGAACCGACAUCGGGUUCUGGCCAUUGCUGCCGUUGGUUCGGCUUUGUUAUAUGCCAAAGGGAACGAGAAUUUCACUGAUCGAGAGCCAUUUCUUAGAGAUCUAUAAUAGAGUAAAUUCAUCAAUAUAUUGUUGGGAUUUUUUGUUUUUGGUAUCAAUCUAAUGAAAAGGAGUUUUUGUUUGUUAUGGGUACAAUGUCGAUUGGGAAUUUAUUUUGUGCGUUUCGAUUCAGUUUAUGGGAAUUCAAAUCUUCAGAAAAAAAAAUUAGCUGCAAAUGUAUUUGAUAAUUAAUUUGGGGAU